rnacentral:rRNA from 1 species
AGUGAACGCUGGCGGUAGGCCUAACACAUGCAAGUCGAACGGCAGCACAGUAAGAGCUUGCUCUUACGGGUGGCGAGUGGCGGACGGGUGAGGAGUACAUCGGAAUCUACUUUUUCGUGGGGGAUAACGUAGGGAAACUUACGCUAAUACCGCAUACGACCUACGGGUGAAAGCAGGGGAUCUUCGGACCUUGCGCGAUUGAAUGAGCCGAUGUCGGAUUAGCUAGUUGGCGGGGUAAGGGCCCACCAAGGCGACGAUCCGUAGCUGGUCUGAGAGGAUGAUCAGCCACACUGGAACUGAGACACGGUCCAGACUCCUACGGGAGGCAGCAGUGGGGAAUAUUGGACAAUGGGCGCAAGCCUGAUCCAGCCAUACCGCGUGGGUGAAGAAGGCCUUCGGGUUGUAAAGCCCUUUUGUUGGGAAAGAAAAGCAGCAGGUUAAUACCCCGCUGUUCUGACGGUACCCAAAGAAUAAACACCGGCUAACUUCGU